AUUGAACGCUGGCGGCAGGGCUAACACAUGCAAGUCGAACGGUAACAGGAAGAAGCUUGCUUCUUUGCUGACGAGUGGCGGACGGGUGAGUAAUGUCUGGGAAACUGCCUGAUGGAGGGGGAUAACUACUGGAAACGGUAGCUAAUACCGCAUAACGUCGCAAGACCAAAGAGGGGGACCUUCGGGCCUCUUGCCAUCGGAUGUGCCCAGAUGGGAUUAGCUAGUAGGUGGGGUAACGGCUCACCUAGGCGACGAUCCCUAGCUGGUCUGAGAGGAUGACCAGCCACACUGGAACUGAGACACGGUCCAGACUCCUACGGGAGGCAGCAGUGGGGAAUAUUGCACAAUGGGCGCAAGCCUGAUGCAGCCAUGCCGCGUGUAUGAAGAAGGCCU
rnacentral:rRNA from 1 species